CUAUCUUACUGAGCUGUGAAAUUCCAGAUGUUUAUAAGAGUUCAAAAUUCCAACGUGCUGGUUGGAAGGCUCUGAGCCACACUCCUUUCUUUUAGCAUUAGUUGUAAGUACCAAGAAUGUGUUGGCAAAGUGCAUGUAGAAAACACGUGACUGCAGGAUCUGGUUCCCACCCAAUAAAAAUAUGCUCAGGGCUACAGUGAGCCUUAUUUAUUUUGCAGUAGGUUACAAAAUACCUUUCAAAAUUACUGAUACAAGGUUUUAAGUAGAUAAGUACUGAAUUUCCUGGAAACUGUUCAGGCAAUCCAUUUAAAAUAAUGAAUAUUCUUGCUAUACAUUUUCCUGAUCUGUCAGAGUCAUAUGAGAAAAAGGUGAUAGAAAGGCUUCUGAUUUAUUUAUAUUUUCACUUAGCAACAGCUGGACAUCUGAUACUGCUCUUUAUUUCAGUUGGUCCCUGGAUAAUAAGAAGCUUGACAUUUCAGCAUGUUUCACAAGCAAGGAGUUCUGUCACUUCUUCCUCUGGAUAAAAAAAGGCGUUUGUGUAGAAGAACCAAAACAUAGCAUCAUACCAGAUACUCUGAAGAAAACAAUUCUGUCCCAGAUGAAACUAAGACACUCACCACAGUACCAAGCGAGUAGUCAAAGCUUAACACUGAACAUGAGAAUAUCAAAAUUACUGAAUUUCUUGUCUAGUUACUCAGUGAAUGUGGAGAGUAUGUAUAUAGAAAGCAAUGACUUCUUGCCAAACUGAAAACCAAAGGAAACAAGCAUGCAGAUUUUUUUUUCUCUGGCUCUGGACAAAACUCAAGUUGCAAAGUUCAUUCUGCACCCUGAAAAGUUCGCCACCUAUACUAAAUCAAUAUUUGUCUCAUCUUCAAGCAUGUCCUGUGGUGCAUUGUAGAAAACAGCUUCCCUGCAACUGUGGCAACUGACAGAAAAAGUAUGAUGAGUUUCUAACUGGAGAUGUUUAUGAACACCUUCCAGCUGGAAUGAAGGGAACAGCUGAACAACUACUGCCCAUUGGUGUUUGCUCAAACUACUGAGGAAAUCACGACAGACUUUCAGCUACAAGUGUGAUGUAAGAAAAAAUGAUACUUAUGGAGGCGUAUAUGGUCUUCAGGAGGACUCUGACAGUGACGCUUAGGCUUACAGUGCAAUGGGACUAUAUGUGAAAGCUUCUUAUUCACAAAGUAGCAGAGAAACACGUCCCCUGGCUUGCUUUGCUAGUGGAGAGUGUGCAGACCAGCAGACAAAGAAAUCAGCUGGUCACUUAAGGCUUUGCAGAACUGGUGAUCUCACCCUCUCCUCCCACUAUUACAGAGGGAAGGACUGCUAGGAUUCAACUGAUUGGUUUUAUUGCCUAUUCUCCUGACAUAUGAGAGAAGUUAACGCCCAGUUCUCUGCCAUUUAAAUUAAUUUUAAAUAGUGCUGCUUGAAAUUAUUGGACACAAGCCAGCUGAUGAUGACAGCGCUUGGGAUUUUUUUCUCCCUAUAGGAAAAAGGAAACAGCACUGGACAGUUACAUCAGAGCUUUUUAGCAAGGCAUUAAUAAAUCAUGUGAAGAUUACUGAUACUGCUGGUUACUCAUAAGCAAUAGUUUAGCUCUCACGUUCCUGAAAAGAAAUAGGUGCCUAAAAGUAUGCAUUUCAACGAUUCAAUCUGGAUGGUGAAUAUCUGCCUUUUCUGUACUGUGUAAUGGUAUGGAAUGAAUCAAUCAGUCCUAGAAAACAUUAUUGCUUGAUUCAAUGUCAUUGUUAUAUGAAAGUAGCAGAAUUGAAUCUGCUGCAUUUUGAGAAAUUGUUGCUAACAAACAGAAUGUGUAAGUUUCUUCACUGUUCAUUUACUAAUGGAGUUUGAGUUUGCAUGGCAAGCAAAAAGAAGUUGGAAAAAACCCUGUUUCUCACUGUUGUGGAGGACAAAAUUCUUUUGAUGAUUGGUCUGUAGAACUGAGACAUGGACACUGAAAGAAGACUACAUGCACAAAAUAUCUAGAAGUAAUUCGUGAGAGAAUGAAAGUGGAGAGAAUAUCAGUCGAAUGAACUAUUUCAGAACUGUCACUUGAUCUACCUGGAAAUGUUGUUUUGUGCACCGAGGAACUGCUGAAAAAGCAUUUUAUAGAGCUUGAAUCCUCUGAUUCAUUGUUGUUUUGUGGUGCUAUAUAGAUGUUCUGCCACCCUGCUUUUCUACUGCUUUAAACUAACGAAAUCUGCUACUUUGAUCAUCUGUAGCAUGUACCAAGACGUAAAACAGAUAUUCCAAUAGUGCCAUUGUACAUCUUCAGAAGAUAGCUUCUUAUUAUUGGAGAAAAAAUGAUCUCUGCACUUGAGAUUAAAACAGAUUAAUACUUUUCCUUUAUUUAUUCUCCUGCUGAUGGUAAAGUGCAGCUCCCUCGGAGAAUGGCAACUUACUCGCAAUGCAAAACGGAGAUGUGUGAUUAAUGCAAAGGAUUAUGCAGAAGAAGACAAAGAUUUUUAUCCUCAUUUUCCACUGUCACCUUGGCAAGCCCCCAGACAGUGAGGUACAAUACUUCCACGGAUAGAAAAGGAGCUCUUUAAUGGAUGAAUGUAAACAGAAGAUCUAGAAACAAAAUGCAACAUAAUGUUUGAUUAUUUACUGAAUUUUCAAGCAAUAAACUCAGGUAACUAACAGUCCCUCUUUAGAAACAAACCGAUAUCAUUAUAUAAAGAAGAAUAAGCUGUGAGAGUGGGCAGGAGGAACAUCAAGGCAUGCCUAAGUUGCUUCUUAAGUAGGCAGAGUCCACAGAGGAGGCAAGCAACUUGCAAAUGGCAGAGGAGGUGGAAAAGAGAGUAAAGCGUCCCCUCGGAUAGCAGAACUGGGGAAAUAAACGCAAUGUCACCCUCUUGCCAGCCUUCAGGAAGGAAGUCCUAUCGAAGCUGUUACCACACUGCAAAAUCUCUGUAGCUGCUAAAAGGCUUUCAAGGGGCAGCUUUAGACUAAUACCACAUUCUAGGAGGGCUUUUCAUCAAUGUCGAUUUGGAUUACAUUUAUUUGUUCACUAUUGAUUUUCUUACCAGCUUCAGAGCAGGCACUGAAUUAGUCUCAAAGGGUAGCUGCACACCACUGCAUAAACAAAGUUAGGCUAAUCAGGAUCCUCAACAACCCGUGCUGCCUAACUUUUUUUCUUCUGCAGGGCCCCACUGCAGACCACACCAACUAGCUGUCUCCAAGGCAGGUUUGUUAGUGAAGAGACACACCAUAGGCAGUGUGAACUUGUGGCUGUUGACCUCUGGCUCUGGUCCCUUGCUCUCUUCUUUUAGCUGUCGAUGUAGCCAUAGGUUACGUGCCAAGCUAUGCCCAAAGAUAUCAUAGUCAGCACAGGCAGGGAAGCAGGCUUAGACAAUGGUUUCAUGAUCAGAACUGGGUCAUUUAUACACAGGGAAAAACUUGACAAUACUUGAGCUUUUGAGUUUCUUUUGGACUGGCAGACAGUAUUGCCUGAAUGAAGUGCUUUUCCGUGAGAUGAGUCAGUUGCCUAAAGCACAGUCUUUACUGAUGUGAGAAGAGGAUUGUAGGUUAUCCACAUUUUAAUCUAAGCUGUCCUCUUCUCGAGACAAUUUAUCUCCCUAUUAUAUUUCUGGGAGACAGUGCUUGAGACAAGAGGAAAUUCUCAUCUGGAAUACAGUUCAGUGAUAUAACUGAAAGAAGGUAUUAAAGCAAAGGUCUGUUUAAACCUGUCCCAAAGCUGUGAGUAUUGUUUAAAGAGAGAUGGAGAUACUGUCAUCUCACAACAGCAGUGAAUAAUAGCUUGGUUGAGUUGUCUUUUUGUAAACAAAGGAAAACUUCUACAAAUGAUUCUCAAGAAUGCAAAACAUGCAGUGAACUCUAAAUGAAAAAGUGAUACAUAGAGCAACACACAUGUGGCAAUACUUGUCAAUUAAUAAAAGUAUCCCAACUAGAAAAUGAAUAAAACAGACUAUUUAAUAGAGACUAUAGAAUAGGUUGACUUUAAAAUUUGAGGAAUGUUGGGUUGGAGGAAGGGAGAUAGGAAGUAAUGGAGGAAAGAAGAAAGGAAAAGAAAGAAAAUGAUUCAAA